rnacentral:rRNA from 1 species
GAUGAACGCUAGCGAUAGGCUUAACACAUGCAAGUCGAGGGGCAGCACAAGGUAGCUUGCUAUCUGGGUGGCGACCGGCGCACGGGUGCGUAACGCGUAUGCAACUUGCCCUAUACAGGAGGAUAACCCGGCGAAAGACGGACUAAUACUGCGUAUGCUCACAACUUGGCAUCAAGUGGUGAGGAAAGAAAUUCGGUAUAGGAUAGGCAUGCGUCCCAUUAGCUUGUUGGUGAGGUAACGGCACACCAAGGCAACGAUGGGUAGGGGAACGGAGAGGUUUACCCCCCACACUGGUACCGAGACACGGACCCGACUCCUACGGGAGGCAGCAGUGUGGUAUAUUGGUCACUGGGCGCGAGCCUGGACCAGCCAAGUCGCGUGAAGGAUGACUGUCUUAUGGAUUGUAAGCUUCUUUUAUACGGGAAUAACAAGAGUCACGUGUGACUCCCUGCAUGUACCGUAUGAAUAAGCAUCGGCUAACUCCGUG